AAAAAAAAAAAGAAAAAAUUCAGCUUUUAUAAUUAAAAAUAAAACUAAAUUACUUUUUCAAAAGGAAAAAUUUCGGUAUCUGUAAGAGAUUCUUCCAUAUAGCCACAGGAGAAUGUGAUGUGUAACUCUCUAGAUCUCUGUUUUCGUUACCUCUGAUGUACCCUACUAAAUGUUACAAUUUCCCUUUUUUGAAGACCCUCUUUAAUCCACUUUGAUUGUGGUGUCUGUGUCCAUGGGCUUACUCCCACUUUUGCUCUGAAUUCUAGGGCACAUAUCUGACUCUGCCUGGUAUCCCCCUUCUGUCAUAUUUCUGAAUUUGCAAAUGCUCUGGUCAUUUUCCUCCAAGGCCUCUGUCACUCCUCCACACCUGAUCAGUGAACUCUUCACAACUAACUCUAGAGCAGACUCUCCGGUCACUGUUUGCUCUUCCUCCUUAAUGAAGAAGGCAAGAGUUUAUCAGAAGUUCUGCUUUUAGCCCAGUGAGAUUUCCAGCCUGACUGCCUUGCAAGCUGCCUUCAUAACUAUUGUUGAUCGAUGCUAGUAAUACUUUAUCCAUUUCCAUUUUGUAAGCCACUACAAUAUUACUUCUGUUUCUCUUAUUCUCAUCCAGAGACAGUUCCCCAAUUCCUAAUUCAUAGAUUUCCACUCAGGGUUACACUUAAUAUUGAUUUUAUAUAGUACCACUCAUGUGUUCCAUCUGUUAGAUUUCAUGCAGCAUAUUGUUUGAGGGUAUGCUAUAUGUCAGACUAGAGUCGUCCAGUGCCACCGAAAUGCUUGAGGGCGGGGUGUAGAAUGCAGGGGCCAGGUGUAUCAUGGGACAGGGUUAAGGUUUUGAUCCUGUAGGCCUGAAGAGCAUCGUAGGAAUCUGAGUGGGAAUAAGCUGUUGUGUCUGUAUUUAGAAGCGGUAGUUGUGUGCAGGACGGCUUGCAUUUGGCAGAGGCCAGGUAAAGGUUACCGUAGUUGUUGAGAUGAGAGAGGAUAAAGCUAGAGAGGAGUUGGUACAUUUGAGAAAUGUGUGGGGCUGAGUGAAGGACAGGACUUUGUGACCAAGUGCAUGUGGGAAGUCACACGGGGGAGGAGUCAAGAAUAACUCAGGCCUCUGAUUGUUAAAAUCCAGUCACACAGCGGGAGGAGUUGAGAAUAACUCAGGCCUCUGACUAUGUUAAAAUCCAGAGUCACAUGGGGAGGAGUCGAGAAUAACUCAGGCCUCUGAUCGACUCUUAAAAUCCAGGACAGGAAUGGGUCAUGAGCAGAAAACAGUCAGUUGUACAUUGAGCUCAAGGUGCAUCGGUCAGCCAGGUGAAGGCCUAGAAGCAACAGGCUUCUCAAGUCUGGCGCUCAGGAUGCUGUCUGAACUGGAGGAGAUUAGGAGUGGCCUGCAGAGAGGAAGUAGCUGGAGCCAAGGGGGCAAUGGCAUUGCCCGGGGAGAGCACGCUGGCCAGUUGAGGCAGGCUUGCCGUGUGUUGGGGUCAUCUGGCCAGCACCAUCUUGCAAUCCCCUCUUACCCUGUAAUGGUUAGCAGAUUCUGAGGAAAGGAUUUUAUUUUUUGUUUUGAAUUGUAAAUUGGUUUGAUUUAUAUUUUUGUUAAAGAUGAAAGAAAUGGGGAAUGUGCUAAAGGAAGGGAGGCCAUGGAGGAGAGGUUGGAAACCCAUGGAAGAUCAAAGAGAAUAGUGGAGUAAGGUCUUGGCAGGUUCGACUCAGAGCAGAGCUGACCGGAGGCAGGAGAGCAGCUCAGGCAGAGGAGUUUGUGGAAAGAUGACGCAUUGGCAGCUGAGCCCAGCUGGUCAGCCUCUGUGUGUCAUCAGCUGAGUGGCAAGGCAGGGUGGCGUUGGGACUUAAAGAGAAAGAUGAAAGCUUGGAAGAAGCCCUGAAGGAGAAGGGAGGAAACUGACUAGGGAACAGUGGCCAGCGUGCGAUACCACAGAAAGCGAGUGAUGAUGCUGGUCUGCAUAGCUGUGCCAUCCGCUCACGCAGGGCUCGCAGGUGUAGGAAUGGGUGAGGCAGGUCGCUGGACUGAUCUGUGGUGAGCCUGCUGGGCUACUCCGAGCUGACCUGUUUCUUUGAAGAAUGCACACCUUAUGGAAGCUCGAGGCAGAGAUACUUCCCCAACCAGGUAUCUGCACUUCCUAGAAAGCGCCAGUAAUCAGCGCAGCAAGGCAUUCAUGCAUCGAUAGACAAUUGAGGCAGUGGAACAAACGGAACAAAAUAGAGACCCCAGAACAGGCUUACGCACUUGUGGAAACUAAUUAUGUGUCAGAGGUUACAUUACAGUGCAAUAGAAAGGGUUCAGUGUUCAACAAAUAGUGCUGAGACAAUCACGUAUCCAUGUGGGAGAAAAUGAAAGUCAGUCUCUACCCCAUACCACACAAGAGUCCAUUCCAGGAAAAGUAAAACCUUUACGCUUGCAAAACUAGACAGGAGAAGAUCCUUAUGACAUUUUGGAACGGAUUUCUUAAAUAAGACACAAAAUUAGAAACCAUAAAGAAAAAGUUUGAUUUUUAAAAUCAAGAACUUUAUCAGAAAAAAAAAAAAAAGCCACGAAAGAGAAACUUUAAAGAACACAAAGCCAAGAAAACAUCACUUUGAGACACACAAAGGAGCCCCCAAAAAAGGGGGAAAAGCUGCCCUAACGGGCAAAAGACCAUUUCAGUAAAGAGGAAAACGUGAAGCCAAUACACUUCCAAAAAUACUUUCAAUCUCACCAAAAUCAAGAAAAUGCAGAACGGGUUACUAGUUUUCAUCUGCCAGAUUGGUAAGAAACUUUUAAUCAAUAACACAGUGGAUGGAGCAGAGGGAACUCUCAUCCCCUGCUGGUGGGACGUAUAUUCGUGGAACCACCUGGCUGGCCAACGUGGCAUUAUUCAGAAAAGUUGAAGCUGCAGAUUCUCCAUGACGCAGAAUUUCCUCCCCUGGGUGUUCACCAUAGAAGUACUCUUGCCCAUGGCCCUGGAGCUGAAUAUAACAUAUGUAAGAACAAAAAGUGGCAAGUUUUGACAAAAGAUUGGUGGAAAAAAAUUGUGAUGCCCAAUUUCGGUUGCCAUGGGACCGUGCAAGUUGAGGCGAGAGUUCUGACUUAACGUGAGUUUCACAGGUGUGGAAAGCAGGAACUGCCUUUGUUUCGACAAGCAAGGGAAAAGGAGCUAAUAGCUGCAUUUGCCAGCACCAAUGAAUCUAACCAACACUUCGAGCAAAAAAGGCAGAUUGCAAGAUUAAAUAGGUAUUCUGACAGAAUUUAUAUAGAGUUCAGAAAUACGGAGCUAAAUAACUACUCUUUGGAGAUACAUACGUAUGUGUCAAAACCCUGUGAAGAAAUGCAAGGGAAAGGUAAGCUGAGGCUUCCGGAGAAUGUUUGUUUCUGGUGAGGAGGUAGGAGGAUGACAGUGAGUUUCCCAGGGGUUCAUCUUGGACAAAUUCUUACACGGUGUGGUGGGUUGCUGGGUGUUCAUUCUGUUACUAUAUACCUUUCACUACGGGGGGUGAGUUACCCAGAAGGUCACAAAACUUAAGUUUUGGGGCCCCUCAUUUUCACAGAUUCCCAAGCCCAGUACUUAAUUUCAGGUUUAUAAUUAUUUCCUUUCUUAUGGAAGACUUCAAAACCUGUCUAACCCUUGGACCCCGAAAACUUGGAUCUACACCUGCAUACAAGUUAUACCUUAUACACACCAAGUAUUUCAUAAAUGUUAGCAUGGGUACAUUACACUGCUUGCCAUCCCAGGCUUAUGUUCCAAACCUGAGUGUAUCCUUCAGCCUGCUCGCAGCCUUAGGUUUUAUUAGCCUCAUUACAUGAAAUUUUUAAGUCUUCCCAAACUCCAUGCAUUAAUAUACAGAUCUGUGAAAAUCCUGCUUUCUGUUCUUUUUCCCCACGAUAGUAUUGUUACGUUUGUUUCUUUCACUCAUGUUUUUCUUUCUAUAUCGUAAAUUGUUUCUAACCUCACAAUUUUGGUGACACACUUUUUCCUCCAUUCUCCUUAAAUUGGUUUUUAGUCCACUUGCUACUCCCAUUCCUCCGCCCUGUCUUUGUCUGCUGCUCACAGCUGCUGUCAGCUAGGAAAUUAGAGUCAUCUCCGAAAUCACCAUCUGCCCCAAAUCGCUCCCGCGUGUCUGUCCUCCUCGCUGCCCAGGAGCUGAUUGUACUCUGGUGCUCCCCACGUCCUUCAGUGAUCGCCAGUGGUCCUGAGAAAGCUGAAUCCGGUUCACAAAGGCCUGAUUGGGAAGUCAGGCUCCACCGUUCUGCCGGUCCUCCCACCACGGUCCAGCUUCUGGACAGGCGCCCCUCCCUGGGUUCCCUCCUCUAUACCCUUACUUUCAGAGGUUCUAGUGAUGGGUUGUUUGAAGACUGUUGUGUCUGUUUUGGUAGUAGACAUUCCCAGGUACUUGGAAUUUUCUUAAUGUUUAACAUUGGGCCACCUGAAUAUUCCUUUCUUACCAGAGCGGUGAUGGAAGUGGUGUUUUUAUGGGUAAGGUUUCUCCGUCCCUCAGUUGCAUUUUCAAAAGUCUUCUACAGGAUUCCAUAAACUUCCACAUAAAAAUUAGGUCCUCGAGACAUGUUUUGGUAGCCCAUAAUUAUUGACAGUACAUUUAUGGAGCACAAAAGGUAGCCAGCCCCAUCGCCCACAGUCCUCCGGCCAUCUAUGUGGGAAAGCCCUGCUCACCAGACCUUACCUGCUGUCAUCACAGCCCUGGGGGGCUGACCAGGCAGCCCAGUUUUACUGAUGGGGAGCCUGGGACUCCAGGGGUUCUUGAAAACAUCCCAAGCACUAACCGGAAAUGAGUUCUCACGCAUGCAUUCAGCCCGCUGCUUUUAGUGCCACCCGACCUGGAACAAGAGCGAGGGCUUCCUGCUUGCUAGACGCUUCAUUCCAAGGGUCUGGAACGGACCUUUCCUGAUACCAUUUUAGUUCAGCCCCUACAGCACCUCCCAUCCUCUGGCAUCAUAGAUAGAACACACAAUUUGCUAAUGAAAUGGAGUGGUUACAGACUGUAGGAGAACCGCAAGGAAAUGGACACUUGCUGUCCUUCCUGCCCGGAUGUGCUGUACCCAUCAUGGAGGUGGGGAACACUUGGCCUGUCACAUAAGAGAAGCUGAUGACAAGCCCUCUGUAGCAUAUUCAUAAAGCCCUGGGCUGAACUGUGCUCCCUCCCACUGAACCCAGCAUGGCUGAGGCCUUGGCUCAGCUAUUUCAAGGUUGAAAAGCACAGGCCAAGUCAACACCAGGGGCUGAAUCCACAGACUGCCUUUACUGUGAUGAUUCCAAGGCAGAACUACCCUGUUUAGAAACAUAAAAUGGCAAGUCAUGACCAUAAUCAUUGCCGUCUCAGCUUUACUUUGAUGAAGACUCUCCUUCAACCAAAACUUUAGCUGAAUUCCUGAGUCCUGUGAUUGACUAGCCUCAAGCCUAGGCUUCCCUCUGUCCUUGUAGAAUCCGCUGUGAGCAGGAAUCCUGCCAAGUCAGCUUAGCAAAAAUCCCCCACCCUUGGUAUCUGAGCACCCUGGCCUGCCUUCCCAAACAGUCAUAAUUUCAGCCAGAACCCUCUUAUCCGUGCUGUCUCCUCGUAGUAAUUUUCCAUCCACUGACCCCCAUCCUGUCCUUGGCCAUAAAUCGCCACUUCUUGUUGGAGCUGAGUCCAAUCUCUCCCCAACUGCAAGACCCCAUUGAAGUGGUCCCUGUUCCUAUCAUCACGGCCCCCUUCGAAUAAUAUCUUCCUUAAAGUCAUGAAUAAUUUUUUCUUUAAUAACCUGUAUUGAAAUCCUUUGUAAACGUCUUCUGAGAACAUACGCACGUUUCCAAGAUGGUUCUUACAUACAACAAUGGUGGGAGGAGAGGCCAUACCUUAUUUCUGGGAGAGUCCCAACAUGGUUUUAAUCCUGAAAAAAGACAAAAAUCAAAAGAUUCUUUCCGUAGAUGAUGGUUAAUUGUAUACGUUAACCUGACUGAGCUAAGGCGUGCUCAGAUAACUGGUAAAGCAAUAUUUCUGGGUGUGUGUGUGUGAGGGCGUUUCCAGAAGAGGUUGGCAUUUGAAUCAAUGGACUAUAAAGGAGACCCACCCUCACCAUUGUGCAGUCCUUUGACGGCUGGAAUAGAGCACAAAGGCAGGGGGAGAAGUUGUGCUCUGCUGGAGCUGGGACGUUCAUCUCCUGCUCCCAGACAUGAGUGCUCCCAGUUCUUGGGACAUCAGACUCAGACUGGGCUCCUCCACUUCUCAGGGCUUCAGAGUGGAACUGAAACCAACACCACCGGCUUUCCUGCUUGCAGGUGGCCGAGCCUGAUGCACAGCCUCCAUAACUGUGUGAGCCAAUUCCCAUGCCGAGCCUCUUUCUUUACAGCUCUAUAUAUCCUAUUAGUUGUUUCUCUGGAGAACCCUAAGGCACCACGUAAUAAAUAAAUAUAUAAAUAAAUACAUGAAUUCCAAAUUUGCAGAAAACUAAGGCUUGGUAAUCAUAAAUAUAGCCCUUGGGAUACUUAGUUCUAUUUGUUUCUGUGCUGUUUCUUGGAAAGGUACUGGUUGCAGAUAUGACAGCGUGGGGCCGUAUCCAUAACCGACCAUCAUCCAGGUGAACUCUGCCUCAUGUGACUGACUCUUGGCUGUCGCAGUUUCUGUUGCCAUGUUUUUGGGGUAACACCCAAAUCUGCAUCUCCAGCCUCGAGCUUUCUGAGCAUUGCCUGCUGCAGCUGGGCAGGUUCAGUCUCCAUGUGACAAGUCCUGCCGUCACCUCAGCUUCCACACACCCAGCUCUGCACUCACCAUCCCCCUACAACCAGCUCCAGCUCCCCCAGGUUCUUACUGAUUUCCAUAGCCCGCAGUCACCAUUGCCAUCCACUCCUUCCCUCCCCAGGCUUAAGAUCCUAGAUUGUUCUUUAAACCCUCUGUAUUUUUAAACAUGUAUUGCCAAUUAGUCUUUGACUCCUAUGAUUCUUUCAAAAUUUCUGUAAUUUCCAUCCAUUCCUCUGCCAUAAUGCUAGUCUAAGUACGCUAAAUAUGCCUCCAUUUAUGAGACAAAACAGAAAGUGUCCUUUCAUCCUCCUGCCCCCUCUACAGAAGGUGGCCUUCUCUUCCUAGGAAUCAGAUAUCAGAUCAGGCGCAAAGAUUUCUGUGACCUGGUUCGAGACCAUAGUGCCUCCCACUGAUUGGAUGGGAGCCUUAUCUUCAGAGAUCCAGCAUGCAGGGAUCCUCCAUGUUCAGUGUUAGCAUCCUCAAUCUUGUCCCUUCCAGACCUCAGAAAAAUCCAGGCCCUUUUCUGCCCUUGAAAGUGAGGGGUGGAGCCGCAGGCCUGACAGAUCUGGAGGAGCUGAGGUGGCGGGCAGCCAGCCUCUGCCUGCUGGAGGCGCGAGUACGGGCCCAAGGCCAGACAGAGGUCGCUGGCCCUGAAAGAGCAGAGCAGAGGCCGGAAGGGGUGGCUGCUACCAUUGCCCUCGCCCUGGCUGUGGUUAGGAGGGGUGAGCAGCUGCUGGGACGCAGGGGAUGCUGACAGAGAGACGGACAGAAAGGAACUGGCAAGAAACUGCGCAAAAGAACCAUGAGCCAAGUGGAAUAGUUGUCUUCACACUUACAACUUAUUUCUGUAUCAGUGAUAAUUAAUAGAGUAUAAGCGCAUUUUAAACAAAUCUCGUAAUUUGUUACCAAAUUAACAAGUACUGAUUGAGCACGGACCUGGAGAACACAGCACUCAGUGCUGCACAAGGAAGCAGCUGGCACUCUUCCGUUGAAGCCCUACGGUUGAAACGAACUUGCUAGUUAAACAUGAGGUAAGGAGUUUCUCGCGGUUUUAUGUAUUUAUUUAACAAACUCCCAUGUAACCCUCACAACAUGCCAGUCAUUGUUCUAAGUACCACACAAGUAUCAGCCGGUUUCACAUUCCUGACAACUCCUAGCUACUGCCAGCAGUCCAGCUUUACCUAUGAAGUAACUGAUGCACAGGCUGGUCACAGAGCCAGGAAACGGGGAAGCUGGAUUGCACCUAAGCAGAAUGUCACUGUCGCUGUGCAGUGGCAGCCGGAUGCUUUGUUUCCUGGAAUGCCUUUUGUUCAGAAUGUGACUAGGGAGAGUGAAUGGUAAUGACUCUCCCUAAUGUGAGAUGAGGAAGGAGAGCAAAGCAGGCUGAAAGCUGAGGGACAGUGACGCCGAGGGCCAAGGAGAAGAAGAGGAGCCUGCACAGGAGAGGAGGGACAGGUGGAUGACAGGGAUGGACAGGCGAGAUGCACAGAUCGUAGACGGCUGGACGGAUGGACAGGCCAGAAAGGAAGUAAGGACAGAACCACGGAAAGAAGCGAUGGGAAGGCUAAGGGUAGCAGAGGCUGACGCCCCCUGUUACAGACUGAGCUAUGUCUCCCUCUGGCCUCCAAAACCCCUGUGAUGAAGCCCAACCCCAGCACCUCUGAAUGUAGCCGAAUUUGAGGAUACGGCUUUUAAAGGGGUGAUUAAGUUAAAAUGAGGCCUUUCGGGGGUGGAGGGCCCCCAUCCACUCUGAUUUGUCCUUCUAACGAGGAAAUCCGGGCCCACAGAGACACCAGCGAGGCAUUCGCAGAGGAAAGAGUAUGUGAGGCCACUGCGAGAAGGUGGACAUCUGCAAGCCGAGGAGAGAUCUCAGGAGAAACCCACCGUGCUGACACCUUGAUCUUGGACUUUCAGCCUCCAGGACCGUGGGAAAAUAAACGUCUGUUGUUUAAGCCCCCGAGCCUGUGGUAUUCUGUUACGGCAGCCAGCUUUAAGAAGUUGUAAGUGAUUAUAACAACACGACUUCCAGCCGUGCAUUGUAAGAAACCCUGUGGCGUCGCAUCCUGCCUUGCCCUGUGACUGUCAGUCUUGUUCAUAUUUGCCAGCCACAUGGUGUAAAAGGUAUCUCUUUGUGGUCUUGACUGCCAUUCACUAAUCAUUAAUGAACAUUUUUAUAUGGUUUAUGUGUUCCUUCUUCUGGAUAAAUGCCUGUUCAUGUCUUUUG